rfam:Halostagnicola sp. A56, whole genome shotgun sequence.
GGGAGAGAGAGCCCGGCCGCCGCGGCGGCCGACUCGGCGACGAGUCGGCUGUCCAACGCGGCUCGUCCCCUGCGGACGGGUCGCGCCUGCGAGGAAAGUCCCCCCACCGUUCGGGCGGGUGACCGGAUGCAAAUCCGGAGCGGGAGACCGCUGGCUCUGGAACAGAAACGACACGUCUCGGCCCGACCGAUGAUGCGUGCGAACCCGACCGAGAGGAAGGGGAGUCAACCCGCAGAGGGCACCAGCCGUUAGACGCGAUUCGAAAUCGCGGGUCGCUCGAUGCGACCGGCUGUGACGGCCGAGGAUCGAUGGAACGGCGAAUCCCCACCGGUGCAAGUUCGCGCCGCAGGUAGCCCGAACGCACCGCCCACGGCGGGCGGCGCGAGCGCUCAGCCGAAUGCCGGGACGAACAGAAGGGGGCUUACUCCUCUCACCC